GACGUAGGGGACGAGCGUUGUCCGGAUUCAUUGGGCGUAAAGCGCGCGUAGGCGGCGCGGUAAGUCGGGUGUGAAAUCUCGGAGCUUAACUCCGAAACUGCAUUCGAUACUGCGGUGCUUGAGGACUGGAGAGGAGACUGGAAUUCAUGGUGUAGCAGUGAAAUGCGUAGAGAUCAUGAGGAAGACCAGUGGCGAAGGCGGGUCUCUGGACAGUUCCUGACACUGAGACACGAAGGCCAGGGGAGCAAAACGGG
rnacentral:rRNA from 1 species